GUAUGAGCCACUUCCAAAUUUUCUAUGGGUUCAGUGGGACUUCUAUUUUAAGUUACCAGUGAAAUCUUAAUUUGCUGUUCUAUAAGAGGAUAGGUACCUUGUCAGUUGGAGUGAUUUUGAUAAAUUUCAGUCGACACAAAACGUUGUGUUUUGUGACCACUUUCAAUAGUGCCUGAUGUGUUUUAGUAAAUACAUAUAUUUUUCUGAUUAUCGCAUCUAUGCUUUAUGGAUUGACUAUCCAAAAUGUUUCUAUAAAUU